UCUUGUGGAUUCUGAUUUUCUUUUUCUUAUGUUUCAGAUCAUUAAGAAAAAGUGAAGAUGAGAAACGGUUCAGUAUUGAUUGCAGUCGCUAUGAUCUGUUUGGCGAUAUCCAGCCCUGUGUUUGUGUACAAUUAUUAGGGUUAAGCUUCUGAAACUGAACAUCAUCCUUCCCAUUGCACUGGAGCUCUUUGUUCAGUGUGGCCUCACCCCUCCCCCUGGAUUUACUUGCCCACCUCUUACUUAGACAUGGCUAAAUCAUGAGUGACAGAAGAUGGAGACUAAUGGCGAGGUUGGAAAGGAGGUUAUCGCCAUAACUGGGGCUAUAGGAUUAAGGAAAGAUGCACACAGGAAACCUAGAGAUAGUCAAGGUAGAUAUACAGCCUGCGACCUAAAGAUUCCAUCCCUUGGUGGCGAGAGGAUAGGGGACAGGAAAGCUAAGAGAUGGUGUCACUCCAGAAAUGACACUGAUUCAAAAGUAAAGAUAGGAAGAAACCACAAGCAGAGGAUUCUCUUGGAGCCACAAAGGAGAAACAGGUUAAACCUGGCAUCUUCCUUUGGGUGACCAAAGAGGGCUGAGAUCUAGAACAACGCAGACCCAAAAUCCUAUCUUUUUUAUUCAUUAUAUGAUUUCCUUAGAAAAGGGUAGUGCGUAAAUGUACUGAAGUAAUAAUCAUCUACUUUAUUUAGGGUGUCUAAAUAAAAGAAAAUCAUUCUCUCUAAAUGUAACU